rnacentral:rRNA from 1 species
UGACGCAGGAAGGUAGCUGUGCCAGGUAGUGGAUUGCCUGGUGUAAGCGUGUAGGGUGACAGGUUGGUAAAUCCGCUUGUUGUGUACCUGAGACGUGAUGCGUAGCCAUUGUGGUGAAGUUAGUGAUCCUAUGCUGCCGAGAAAAGCCUCUAGUGAGUUCUUAUGCGGCCCGUACCCUAAACCGACACAGGUGGUCAGGUAGAGAAUACUAAGGAGUUCGAGAGAACUGUGGUUAAGGAAUUCGGCAAAAUGCCCCCGUAACUUUGGAAGAAGGGGGACCGAUGUUGGUGAGCACUUUUUCGGUGUGAGCUGGUGUUGGUCGCAGAGACCAGAGAGAAGCGACUGUUUACCAAAAACACAGGUCCGUGCGAAGACGUAAGUCGAUGUAUACGGACUGACGCCUGCCCGGUGCUGGAAGGUUAAGAGGACUGGUUAGUGGCCCUUGUGGCUGCGAAGCUGAGAAUUUAAGCCCCAGUAAACGGCGGUGGUAACUAUAACCAUCCUAAGGUAGCGAAAUUCCUUGUCGGGUAAGUUCCGACCUGCACGAAUGGAGUAACGAUUUCCCUACUGUCUCCACCAUGAACUCGGUGAAAUUGCAUUACGAGUAAAGAUGCUCGUUACGCGCAGCAGGACGGAAAGACCCCGGGACCUUUACUAUAGUUUGGUAUUGGUGAUUGGGACGGUUUGUGUAGGAUAGGUGGGAGACGUUGAUGCGGCCACGCUAGUGGUGGUGGAGUCGUUGGUGAAAUACCACUCUGAUUGUUCUGGUUAUCUCACUGUGGACCGUGAUCCGGUUCAAGGACAGUGCCUGAUGGGUAGUUUGACUGGGGCGGUCGCCUCCUAAAGGGUAACGGAGGCGCCCAAAGGUUCCCUCAGCCUGGUUGGUAAUCAGGUGGUGAGUGUAAGUGCACAAGGGGGCUUGACUGUGAGACUGACAGGUCGAGCAGGGACGAAAGUCGGGACUAGUGAUCUGACGGUGGCUUGUGGAUGCGCCGUCACUCAACGGAUAAAAGGUACCCCGGGGAUAACAGGCUGAUCUUGCCCGAGCGCUCAUAGCGACGGCAUGGUUUGGCACCACGAUGUCGGCUCGUCGCAUCCUGGGGCUGGAGU